rfam:Pediococcus claussenii ATCC BAA-344, complete genome.
UCUGCGCUACAACCGCUCGAAUUGAGUUUUAAAGCAUAGCACUUAAUUUCGGCGAGUAUUAGAAAACAA